GCUGGGGUCUCCUAGCCUGGUAGGGAGCGGGCCUGCUAAGUCCGUGAGCCUUGCUCACAUGGGUUCGAAUCCCAUCCCCGGCGCCA
rnacentral:tRNA from 1 species